GGGAGGGGAGUGGGGUGAGAAACAAGAUCAUCUGCAAACCAAAGAUGAUAACAGCACAGUUCUCCCUGCCAAGAGCUCUCUGAUGCCACUAGGGAGGAUGUUGACAGCGGGGCCAGGAGUCUAGUACCUAGGGGCUGGGGCUGCCUACAGCUCCUAGCUCCUGAGGGAGGAGGAGGAGCCGUGUGUUCAGUCACAGUCACAAUCUUUCUGUGACCACCUCUUUCUAGACCACCGAGGUCCCCAGAUGGGGGAUCCUUGAGUCUCAGCUGCCACUCUGGCCUCGUCUCCCCCCAACUCAUGUCUCACGCCCACCCCGCCCCCCUCUCCGUCUUCUGUCAUCCCACACGGAGCUUUCUUGGAGUGAGCAAUGGAGCAAGCGGAAGCAGGGAAUGGAAACACAUGGACAAGGAAACCGCAGGCAGACAAGACCAGCAAGACGAUGGUCCCGGUGCCAUGCCUGGCCCCAGACCGAGGUGGUGUGGUGACCCCAACUUACAUCCAGUGAAGGUUCCGGCAUGUCGGAUGCUCCCUGUGCUCCGGCCUGACCCUCUAAGGCUGAGGAGGGGUUAAAGGUCAGGUCGCUGUGUGGAUGGUUGCCGGGAGCGGCCUGUGGUGGCUGCCGGGGAGGCUGGGAAGGAGGAGGAGCCCCACUGUGAUGUAAU